GCAAAUGUAGUUUAAUAAAACGCUAGACUGUGACUCUAGAGAUGGAGGUUAGAAUCCUUCUGUCUGCC
rnacentral:tRNA from 1 species